GUGCUUGCUUUGGCAGCACAUACUAAAAUUGAAAUGAUACAUAAAAAAAUUAGCAUGGCCCCUGAGCAAGGAUGACAUGCAAAUUUAUAUAGCAUUCCAUAUUUUU
ensembl:snRNA U6 U6 spliceosomal RNA